rnacentral:misc_RNA from 1 species
CCAAUAGCGUAUAUUAAAGUUGUUGCAGUUAAAAAGCUCGUAGUUGAACUUCGGGGUCUACCCAUUGGUCAGGCUUAAUUGUCUGCACUGGUGAGAUGGAUCUCUACCUUCUGAGGAACUUUCAUGCCAUUUAUUUGGUGUGGUUGGAAAUCAGGACUGUUACUUUGAAAAAUUUAGAGUGUUUAAAGCAGACUAUCGUCUGAAUACAUUAGCAUGGAAUAAUGAAAUAGGACGGACUGAUUCUAUUUCGUUGGUUUCUAGGAUCACCGUAAUGGUUAAUAGGGAUAGUUGGGGGCAUUAGGAUUCAAUUGUCAGAGGUGAAAUUCUUGGAUUUAUUGAAGACUAACUACUGCGAAAGCAUUUGCCAAGGAUAUUUUCAUUAAUCAAGAACGAAAGUUAGGGGAUCGAAGACGAUCAGAUACCGUCGUAGUCUUAACCAUAAACUAUGUCGACUAGGGAUCGGACGAAGUUAAUUUAUAAUGACGCGUUCGGCACCUUACG